AACGAACGCUGGCGGCAGGCUUAACACAUGCAAGUCGAGCGCCCCGCAAGGGGAGCGGCAGACGGGUGAGUAACGCGUGGGAAUCUACCGUGCCCUACGGAAUAGCUCCGGGAAACUGGAAUUAAUACCGUAUACGCCCUACGGGGGAAAGAUUUAUCGGGGUAUGAUGAGCCCGCGUUGGAUUAGCUAGGUGGUGGGGUAAAGGCCUACCAAGGCGACGAUCCAUAGCUGGUCUGAGAGGAUGAUCAGCCACAUUGGGACUGAGACACGGCCCGAACUCCUACGGUAGGCAGCAGUGGGGAAUAUUGGACAAUGGGCGCAAGCCUGAUCCAGCCAUGCCGCGUGAGUGAUGAAGGUCUUAGGAUUGUAAAGCUCUUUCACCGGUGAAGAUAAUGACGGUAACCGGAGAAGAAGCCCCGGCUAACUUCGUGCCAGCAGCCGCCGCGG
rnacentral:rRNA from 1 species